UACGUAGGGUGCAAGCGUUAAUCGGAAUUACUGGGCGUAAAGCGUGCGCAGGCGGUUAUGUAAGACAGAUGUGAAAUGCCCGGGCUUAACCUGGGAACUGCAUUUGUGACUGCAUGGCUAGAGUUUGGCAGAGGGGGGUAGAAUUCCACGUGUAGCAGUGAAAUGCGUAGAGAUGUGGAGGAAUACCGAUGGCGAAGGCAGCCCCCUGGGUCAAUACUGACGCUCAUGCACGAAAGCGUGGGGAGCAAACAGG
rnacentral:rRNA from 1 species